rnacentral:sRNA from 1 species
AACUCAAGCCAAAAAAAAAAAGAGAAAAAUCAUCCUACAUAUAUAUACAUUAGAGCAUACAUAUAUAUCUAUAUCUUAGCCAUUUAGCCAUUAUAAAAUCUAUCUAUUUUGUCUAUCUAAUAUUUGUCUGUAUCUGUCUGAACAACACGGCACGGCGGCAUAAAUGUGUGGAGAAAAAUCGCAGCAUUCAAAAAAAAGUGAAAUAAAGAAAAUGUUGUUGUAAAUUUUAAUUUUUAUUUAAA